CUCAGGUCUGGACGGACGUAGGGAGAACCUGGCUCAGAGCCCCUCAGGUCUGGACGGACGUAGGGAGGGCCUGGCUCAGAACACCCCGGGUCUAGAUGGACAGUUGAAUGCAGAUAUGGGGAUGAUACUGUAAUAAAUGCCAGGGACAAGGUCAGCCAUUAGGCAGACCUAGGAUCAGGUGAGUGUUAACAUAGGGUGGCUACAAACUGUCAGAGCAGCAGAUCAGCCUCUUACUAUGACAAGGGGAAGGGCCCGUAGCAGGACUCAUGUCAUUUCGUAUAUGGGCACUGGGGAAUUUGUUGUGAUUAGCCAGUUUUGAAAGGAUGUUGUUGCCACCCGAUUUGGACAUUACUUUUCUUGGGAGCACUAUGGCAACUUUGGUUGGCAGGGAGCUGGUGCCAGAAGCAUCCUUAGUUCAUACAGCAGUAUCAUCACCAUAGAUACCCCCAUCACCUGCUGAAAUCCAGGGAUUUACUAUACCAAUAGGGCGGCUUUUACCUGAUCCUAAAAGUUGUUCUGACCACAGCAGAUCAGGAGAAAGAACCUGCUAUUCAUCCACCCAGGUCCUGUCACUUAUAUGCAGUGCCCUCUAUAUCAGAAUAGACUGGCAAAGGGCAAAUCUGAUGAGGCACAAGAUUAGAGAAUGCAGCCCACAGCAUUGAUGAGACAAAGAGCUAGCCCAUUGGACUAUGCUUUGUUUGAUUAGACUCAUGGCUGAUAGAUCUCCAGGUUCCAUCUAUAGGGUGAAGCCCGACAUUGGAGUCAUGCCCCUUCUGAGUACUGGUUAGUCACUUGUCUCGUAUACUGGUGCCAUUGAGUGGUUACUCAAGGUUUGUAUGGCAUGAGUCCAGAGAAAGCACUCUAUUCCAUCUCUUCUUGUUUUCAAGAGUUCUUGAUAGUAUUCAUUGGAUGGGGCUGCUUCUGAAGCCAGUUCUAUAAAUUUAUUUUGGUUCCAGACAUGUAUGUUGUGUGUCAUUGUUAUUCUGUGAGUAUCACAUUUCUUACAUUAUAAAGGUUUUGUGUUUCCCUGCGUAGAAUUUUUUAAAACUGUUCAGAGCACCUCUCAUUUUAUUUGUUACACUUAUAUUUCUAAUUACGUUGUCUGUAUUUCUGGCUCCAGCUGUCUCUCUGAGCUGGCAUUUAGUGUAAGUAGAGUGGAGACAGAGACUACUCUCCUUUUGAAGAUCAGGGGACACGUGUUUCAUAGGAGAGACAACUCAGGGCCAGGAGAAGCAAAGAUGACUUUGAGCCACAUUUUCAUUGCCUGAACUCUUGGGUUGGUUGGAGACAAGUGCAGCCCCUACAGCUAUUCAAAUUUAUGGGAGCCCUAUGCAGUCUGCACUGAAGCCCAGAAUCUUUGUAGCACUCAGCACCCUGGAUACUCCCUCCCCAGGACAUCUCCCCAUACACAUUAUGCUAUGGGAUCAGAGUAGGGGUGGCUGGAUGCUGCUCUUGUGCCAGAGAAAUUCUUCCCCAGCCUGUUGCGAUUUCUUUAAAUCCCUUCUGUGCUACUAGAGCAGCAUAUGGGGGCCAGAACGGGCCCUUGAGCUUAUACACUUUUUCACUGUCAAACUGGUAGACAUGGCUGAUUUCUAACAGGAGUAGAAGUAGGCAGGAUAUUUUAACCUCUGAAUUUGGCACUAGUUGACCACUGGUGGAAUACUGUGACCCAUCCUGGUGUCUACUGUUCGAGGAGGAUGUUGAUAAAUUGGAGAGAGCGUUCAGAGAAGAGCCACAAGUAUGAUUAAAGGAUUAGAAAACAUGCCUUAUAGCGGUAGACUCAAGGACUGUAAUUGGAGUUAUCUUAACAGAGAGAGUGUUAAGGGAUGACUUGAUUACAAUCUGUAACUACCAAUAUUUAACAAUGGGCU